rnacentral:rRNA from 1 species
AACGUCGUGAGACAGUUCGGUCCCUAUCCGUCGUGGGCGUAGGAAAUUUGAGAGGAGCUGUCCUUAGUACGAGAGGACCGGGAUGGACAUACCUCUGGUGUACCAGUUGUCGUGCCAACGGCAUAGCUGGGUAGCUAUGUAUGGACGGGAUAAGUGCUGAAAGCAUCUAAGCAUGAAGCCCCCCUCAAGAUGAGAUUUCCCAACUUCGGUUAUAAGAUCUCUCGAAGAUGACGAGGUUAAUAGG